rnacentral:rRNA from 1 species
AUUGAACGCUGGCGGAAUGCUUUACACAUGCAAGUCGAGCGGCAGCGCGGGGGCAACCCUGGCGGCGAGCGGCGAACGGGUGAGUAACAUAUCGGAACGUACCCAGUCGUGGGGGAUAACUAUCCGAAAGGAUAGCUAAUACCGCAUACGUCCUGAGGGAGAAAGCGGGGGAUCGCAAGACCUCGCGCGAUUGGAGCGGCCGAUAUCGGAUUAGCUAGUUGGCGGGGUAAAGGCUCACCAAGGCGACGAUCCGUAGCGGGUCUGAGAGGACGACCCGCCACACUGGAACUGAGACACGGUCCAGACUCCUACGGGAGGCAGCAGUGGGGAAUCUUGCGCAAUGGGCGAAAGCCUGACGCAGCGACGCCGCGUGAGCGAUGAAGGCCCUCGGGUCGUAAAGCUCUGUGGGGAGGAAAGAAUAAGGGUAGGUUAAUAUCCUGCCUGAUGACGGUACCUCCUUAGCAAGCACCGGCUAACUCUGUGCCAGCAGCCGCGGUAAAG